GCACGAGCGCAACCCUCGUCCUUAGUUGCCAUCAUUAAGUUGGGCACUUUAAGGAGACUGCCGGUGACAAACCGGAGGAAGGUGGGGAUGACGUCAAGUCAUCAUGCCCCUUACAUCCUGGGCUACACACGUACUACAAUGCAACGGACAAAGGGCAGCCAACUAGCGAUAGUGCGCAAAUCCCAUAAACCGUUGCUCAGUUCAGAUUGCAGGCUGCAACUCGCCUGCAUGAAGGCGGAAUCGCUAGUAAUCGCAGGUCAGCAUACUGCGGUGAAUACGUUCCCGGGCCUUGCACACACCGCCCGU
rnacentral:rRNA from 1 species